UCUUUUAAUUGAGGGCUUGUAUGAAUGGUUGGACGAAAUAUUAACUGUCUCAGUUUAAAAUUUAAAAUUUUAUUUUUUAGUAAAAAAGCUAAAAUCUUAUUAAAAGACGAGAAGACCCUAUAGAUCUUUAUAUUUUUAAUUAUUAAUUUUAUAAAGAAUAAUUUAGAAUUGAUAAUUGAUGAUAUUUUAUUGGGGUGAUAAUAAAAUUUGAUAAACUUUUAUAUUUAAUAACAGUAAUUGUUGAAUGAUUGAUCCGCUAUUGGCGAUUAUUAGAUUAAGUUACCUUAGGGAUAACAGCGUAAUUUAAUUAAAGAGUUCAUAUCGAUAAUUAAGAUUGC
rnacentral:rRNA from 1 species